rnacentral:rRNA from 1 species
CCUACGGGUGGCAGCAGUGAGGAAUAUUGGUCAAUGGGCGCGAGCCUGAACCAGCCAAGUAGCGUGAAGGAUGACUGCCCUACGGGUUGUAAACUUCUUUUAUAAAGGAAUAAAGUGAGGCACGUGUGCCUUUUUGUAUGUACUUUAUGAAUAAGGAUCGGCUAACUCCGUGCCAGCAGCCGCGGUAAUACGGAGGAUCCGAGCGUUAUCCGGAUUCAUUGGGUUUAAAGGGUGCGCAGGCGGGCCUUUAAGCCGGCGGUGAAAUCGCGGGGCUCAACCCCGCCGAGCCGUCGGAACUGGGGGCCUUGAGUGCGGCGGAGGCAUGCGGAAUGCGCGGUGUAGCGGUGAAAUGCUUAGAUAUCACGAAGAACUCCGAUUGCGAAGGCAGCUUACUAAACUGCCACUGACAUUGAUGCUCGAAAGUGUGGGUAUCAAACAGGAUUAGAUACCCUUGUAGUC